UACGUAGGGCGCAAGCGUUGUCCGGAAUUAUUGGGCGUAAAGAGCUCGUAGGCGGUGUGUCGCGUCGGAUGUGAAAGCCCGGGGCUUAACCCCGGGUCUGCAUUCGAUACGGGCAGACUGGAGUGUGGUAGGGGAGAUCGGAAUUCCUGGUGUAGCGGUGAAAUGCGCAGAUAUCAGGAGGAACACCGGUGGCGAAGGCGGAUUUCUGGGCCAUUACUGACGCUGAGGAGCGAAAGCGUGGGAGCGAACAGG
rnacentral:rRNA from 1 species